AGGGGGCUAGUUCAUCGGUAGAAUAGGAGUCUCCAAAACUUUUGAGCCGGGUUCGAUUCCUGGGCCCCCUG
rnacentral:tRNA from 1 species